CACACACUGACAAAUCUGCUGUAAUUAUGGUUGAUGAUUAGUAAUAAGUAUGUAUUAAAAAAGAAGAUGGAGAAGAAAAGCAAAAAUAUUCUUGGCUUUUAUAAAACUCUUCUAAAAUUGGAGCAUUUUUAUUUUAAGAUUUUAAUGUUGUUCUUCCUAAUUUCUUAAAGUUUGACUGACAAAGCUAAAGAAAACUCAGCCCUCCCAGUCUCCAUGACUAAUGGAGUCACAGAGCCAAAAAUUCUAAGAAUGAAAGUAACUAUAAUGCAAGAGGCACUGCUGCCAAUUUGUUUCUGUUCAGAGGAUGGGCAAAAGAGACUCACUACUGAUGCCUGUCCACUUGCAAAGUCUGCUGGUACGAACAUGUAACUAUCUUAAUAAACAUUUCUCAGUAGAGGCAAGACCUGCUGCUAAAUGUCCUAUGCCCAAGGACAACACCGUAAUCUUGAUGUCCUUGUAUAAAGUUUGCUUUUAUUGAUCCAUGUCUUUUUUGCCUACCAGAUGUGAGCAGAUUGCCUGAAUCACAUGAGAACAACAAUCUGGAUUUGGCUCUAGGACUUGAUCACAUGAGAACACAGAGACAUGUCAGCUGCCAUGACCUACUUUAGCUUUCUGGGAGGAGAUGCAGCCCCUUCAUCAUGAUAAAGCCCUCACAUAGCAACCCUAAUGUAAGCAUGAAGGAAGAUAAACACUUUUUGUUAUAUUCCACUGGUUUAGUAGUCCUGAUUGCAUUGAGCAUUUCAUGGUAAGACUUCAAAGUGCUUCUGCCUUUUCCUUUUACAUAUUGAUGUACAGUUUGCUUGAAAAUAUGUGUCCUGCUCAAAUUACAUUAAGAAAACAUUGGAACUAUGAUAUACACCCACCAGCUAGACAUAAAUUGGCACUAUUUGAAAUUCUGCUGCAGCAUUUCAUCAGUUUUCAGCAUUUUUUCUCUCAUCCUAGGAAACAGGGUUUUACAUACCUCUGCUGACAUUUGGAGAGUUUAGUCUCUAUGCUCUAUGCAGUCAAACACUGAACAUUUUGUGAAACCCCAGCAUUAAAGAAAAAGGACUCAUGAACAAUGAGAGAAAAACAAGCAGUAACUUGUUUUAAAAAGUGAAUAGCUGUGAUAAGAGGCACUGUUAAAAAAUACACAUGUGAAAUCCAUGACAUUUAAGCACAUAUAUUCCUUAUUUCUAGCAAAGAGAUACACAAUACAAAUAUGGGGCAAUGUGUGAUCCAGAACUGGUAGGAUAUCUUACAUAAUUACUCAUGUGACUGCUCAAACUAGGGGAACUGUGAAUUACUUUUAGUAGGUUAGAAAUGACAGCAGAAGCAGGAGGCUCUUUGAUCAAUUCCACUUCUUCAGAAAAACUUUACACAAUAAUACUGCCUGAAACUGGCAGGAACUGGAGAUACUUUCUUAGAAAACUGCCAGAAAAAUAUAUCUCUCCCAUACAGGUCUGAUGUUUGUAUGAUUUGUUUGCCAAUACAUGCAUAUGUUUGGUGAUGGAAACCAUUUUCUGGCACUAAAAAAGGAGUACAAACUUUUCUCAUCUUAGUUGGAAUGACGCAGUUGUUGCUUAAGUGAAGUGAGACACCCUUCCACUCUAAUGCAAGCUGAAUGCUGAAAGUUCCUCAGUCCAGUCAGUAUUUCAGAGCACAUUCAUUAGAAUACCCACCACCACCCAUCGGUAAUCUACAGAAACCAGAAAACUGCAUUUAUAAAAACUGUAACUCAGACAAAUGCUAUUGUCCAAUCAAUGAAGGCAAUUUUAAAAAUCCCUCCAGGAAUAUCAUACUAACAACCUUAUCCCUGCUCUGAGGCAAAGCCCAAUGACUUCUAAAGACCAGAUGUAUCAUGAUUAGUUGGUCAUUUCAUAGCUCAAAGAACUGUAAAUAUGGAUGUUUAUAAACCGUAGUCUGCACUGCUCUACCAAGGUACGUAAUAUUUUUGUGCUGCACAUGAACUCUAAGUUACACUAUACCAAACAAAACUUAGAAUCGUUUAGAAGAUACAUUUGGGAGAAAAAAAUAGACUUUAUACUGAUGUCCAUGGAGACGUUUUGACCUCUGAAGGAUUUCUGGAAAGAAGGAUGCAAAUUUACUUGUUAAUUAAUUCCUACGGUUUUUUGUGUGUGUUUGUUUUAGUCUUCAUUUAAUCUCCUUCACAUUUUAUUCAUCUCCUCUGCCAGCCUCCCUUCAUAAUUUUUUGUAUUUCUCCAAUCAACAACGCUUUCUCCUUUCCUCCUAUGCCUUGUGUAACUUUCCCAGCCUAUUCUCUCUUCCUAUUCUCUCCUCCCAUUCUCUUCACUAUACUCGCUUCUCUUCUGGUGCUAUCUCAUGGGACCUGUCCUUGACUCUUCUAAUUUGAUGUUUACACUCUGCAAGAAAAGAGACUAAUGAUAGUUUCACUUUCCUGUUCUGUUCCUCCUUCCCUCUUUUCGACAAGUUCUGAGUCAGCAAAAUACUUAAGACAGUAAAAAACUUGCAUUCAUGACCAGGCUGCCAUUUUAGAUUAUGGAGAUGUGUAAUACCUUGCCAAUGUAAACUCUUCAUCAGGAAAUCUACAGCGAGUCAGUUGAUUCUUCUCUGACCUUCUUCAAGCAGUUUUUCAGAGGUGCUCUGGGCUGGAUGUGGCCAUCAUGUGAAAGAAUUGAGAGCUUGUGCAGCAGCUCAGGUUCCCCCCUCUCAGCCCUCAACACUAACAAGACUCAAAUCAUUUCCUAAAUGCUACAGCAACAAAGAAUUUGGUUUAUAUUGUAUGCAUGAUAAAAAUGAAGAAACCUUGUUGGAUUCUUAAGAAGAUGGAAAAAGCAAAGAAAACGUCAAACAUAUAAUGACCAGCCAGGAUCAGUAUGUCCCCAAAGAAAGAGAAACAACAUACUGUUCAGGUAUCGUAAAGAACCAUCAAAGAGCCCACAUUUCUUUGUGUUACGAGUAAGUUAAAAGCUGACCAAACACCAAAAGCAUGAAUCAGGCUUGUUUACAAUUAAAACCAACAAAAGCUAUUAGCCAAAUAGGCUCAACUUAAUAACAAAUCUAGAGACUUCGAGAGGUGACCUACCACACAACUUCAACCUCCAGCAAGAAACGCAAGGAUUCUGUGGGUGUUUCCUUUACUGUAUAAUCCUGAUUCAUUCCUACAAAAUGUAGACUGCAUAUGGCAAAGAUUUUGUAAAUUACCAUAACGCUUACUGGAAGUAUGGGAUAAUCUGGAGUUGCACAGACAACCUUCAUUCUGGUAUUUUUGGAUUUCUAUUGGUAAUUGUUAACAGAAAAUGAACAAAAACUGACCUAUUUUUUUAUUCUUCCCUAGCAACUCAAGCACAUGAUGUCAGCUUGACACUUCAGUCCUAGACAAGACAUAGUUACAGACUUUUGUGACUUGUGCUAGCAGAGAAAUAACUGGGGUUGCAUGUUUUCAUUCACUAUGCUAAGUGCCAUGCCCUUGCAAGUGGAUUUUACUACUAUCUGCUUACAUCUGAGGACUAAGGAAAUUUAGAAGUCAUUAAUUUUAUUCCAGACCUGAAAUAGAAAUGUAGUACAUCAGUCUUAAGCUAUUCUGCCUGUUUCCCUUGAAACUGACCCUUUCUGCAUCAGUCUUUCCAUGUUGACUCCCAAAUCCUUGCUCUCUUUUACCUCUAUUUCUAGCCCAUACUUUGUUGCCCAGCUCACGCAAAUUUCUACCGUUUUCCUGCCAGGCGGGUUCCUGUCUCCUCCAAGAUCCAAGACAGAUGAUUUAAUACUCUUUUACUUUCACGGCCUAUAUUAUCCUCCUCCAAGGCCUUGGCCCAAUGGCUUAACAGCCUCCACACUCCACUUCCUCAAUUCUCCACCCCAUUUUCUUGAUCAGCCAGUCUACUGUGCUUCCAUAUUAAACCACAGUCUCUGUUUCUGUUUUCUGUAUUUUCUUCUGAUGUCCCAAUUGUAUCCCUGUGAUACCUGUGCCUCUCAUGACUUUCUACCGCGCAGUCGUAGUUCCUGCCCUUUUUCCAUUUAAAUUAGGUCCCCUCUUUACAGUGCUUGGGCAUCAAUGGAGUAGAGUAACUGAGAGAGGCAUUUUGGUUUUAGUCCUGUUGUUUGGCCGCAGUCCAGCCCACAAACACGUCAGAGCUAUAACCAAAGACCAUGCUCAGUCCUCUGCUGUAGAAUGCUUGAUCUGGAUGCAAGAAAUGUGACAAUGGUUAAUAUACUGGUGUGCCGAGACCAGUAUUUAUCUCACUGAUCAGUAGCAGCUCAUUAACUCCCUACUCCUUAACUUCUUUAACAGCCUGUCUAUACCCAGCUGCUGUCCUGCUCCAUGCAUCCUGAUCAGCACAUUUCUGAGGCAAAGACUGCCUCGGAGUCGUGUCUUUAUAGAGCGUAGCACAGUGGGAUCUUGGUUCAGGGUGAGAGCUAGAUGGGAUUAUGAUGUUCAUGAUGAUAAAAAAAUUAGUAUGCCUGCUGAAACCAUGAACAUCCUAUGUUUUUUAAAAGGGCUUUAACUUGCCAAAUGUGUGUAGAACUUCGUAACAACAGAAAAAAGCACAGCCCCAGCAUAAAGGCCAUUUCUCUGCAAAAUGUCAAGUUAUUCUGGAGCUUCCUAAUGUAAAGGACAUCAGUAUUUCUUAAUGGAGGGAAACAGUCUGUUCUUUUUCUUGACCUCAUUCUCGGAAGUAGAAGAAUGUUUUUGACUGCAAUUUUCUGAAUAAAUAAAAAUGUAAUCAAAUGAACUACAAACACCAGGCAUAUGGCCAGGAAGUUUUAGCCUGAAUAGUUAAUAUUUUGUGAAAAUUUUUGCAACUGGAAAUCAGUUUACCACAGGAAGUGCAGUCAACUUUAAUUACAGGUGGUGAUCAUAAGUCCUUCCUAUAAGAUAGAAUCACCCAUACAAGUAAAGCUCUUAUUUUCUAGAAAAAAUAAGAUUUUGUUUUUCAUGGCUUCCCGUGUCACAGGUAUAGAUUUGUUGGCAGACACAUCCAUUUCUAAUCUUCAGGUCUCAGUUUAGUGGAUUCCUUAAAAAAAAUUUUCAACUUCCAUAUUUUCAUCCCUGCUAUUAGCCCUGAAGAAUUUUUUUGAGAGUAAGAUGACCUUAAAUCCACAGCUUUCCACAUACACUCCUGAACUAAUCCUCUCUCUCAACACCAUGCACUAUAACACCCAACAUCCAUGUCUAAUAGGUGUUCUUGUCUUGCGGAGGGAGCUGGGGGAGAAGCUCCAUGCAUAUGCACAGCUGUGGGGAGAAGAACAAUCAUUAAUUAACUUUUAAAGUCAAAACUUCCAUUAGCUGAAACCAUGGUAGGGUAUAUACCUCUACAAUGUUUAGUGGCUUUACUUCUUCAUUUCUUUCUUUCAGUAUUUGUGUCCAGCCAUACUCAGGUACAAAGUCUAAGUACCAAACUUCCCUGCCUUAGCUCCAUUUUACCUAUGGCUUCCUCAAAAUCUUAGUUCCAUUACUGUUACACAAAACUUAACUACAUACUUCCAUUUCUACCUUGCUGUUGCAUAUUUCGAGCUUAUUUUCUACCACUAAGGUGCAUUCUGAGGCAUAAGACCAGAAGAUGUUUCUAGCUUGAAGUGCAAGAGGAAUACAGACUCUAUACUAAGAUGUUUGAGGAAAGCCAAUUCAUUUUAGGUAGGUUAGCCUUAGGUGAGUUUGAUAAUUUGAAAGGUCUUCACACAUCUUAACAUCCUUCUAUCGGCAUAUAUGCUACUUUUGUGUG